CCUCGAUUACUAUUGAUAAACUCGCAUUGAUUCGAAACCAAUUCAAAUUCAAAUUCAAAAUCAAGUCAAACGGUAAAGUUUUUCAAAUAUUAAAACUAAAAUGUUCCGGUUGUGCCAAAUAAUCCAUAGGAAAUUAUGGUGGGGAAAUAAACUUUUUGUAAAGUAUUUAAGUGGCCUAGAAUAAUUAAAACAUGGGCCAAUUAUUUAUUAAAAACAUUUUCAAAAUGGUAGAAAUCUCCAAACUAUUUUAUUUGCCCCGAACCUUUUUUGAUAGUAGCCUAUAUUACUAUACUAAUUGUGGAGGAAGUUUUGUUUUUAUUAAGACUAAAAUGGUUAAGAACCUAAAUAAUAACUAGUAGUUGAAAUAAAAAGAAAACAAAGAAAAAGGAAAGAAAGAAAACCCCGUGUCUUCCCCCUCCCCUUCAGCCGUUUGGCCCAACUGGGCAUCCAACCCACCAGCCCACAGGCCCACCCCACAUCCCCACUUAUCCCCAACCUCUUGCUACAGGGAAGUGGGGGAUCAUGGCGGGCAUCCGAUCGGCCAUGGUCGCACCAUGGCGCGUGCCGGCCAUCCCCCGGUCCCCUUGGAGUAUAAGGUCGAGCCCCCGACCUCUCUCACGAACCCUAGUUCUCCCUCUCUUCCUCCUCGUGUCGUUUCUUCCACCCGAGAACACACCCGAGACCCCAUGGCCGUGCUGCCAUGAAUCCCGUGGCCACUUCUCUCCCCGAACUACGAGAUCAUGUCGAAGGGGACCGCCGUCGUCUGCUGCAUCAUCUGCUGGGAUCCAUCCGAACGGAGCCGCACUACAUCGUCGGAUCGGGCAACUCCCUCCACUUCGGUCGCCGCGUAGCCCCGCCUCCGGCCACCCCCACACCUUCCCGAGCUUGUCACUCACCUCCUCAUGAGUUCCUCCCUCGAUCCCAUGAUUUCCCCUUUUUCCCUUCGCUGUUGCCCGCAGCCCCGUCCUGUCGCCGAACUCCGCCGUGGCCGCAUCGGAGCCCCGCUCCCUCUCGCUCACCGCGCCCCCUGUUCGCUCCUGCCCGUGCCAGCUUGCGUGUGGCCUCGCCCCUCCGCCCACGCCCACCGACGCUGCUUCUCGCCUAGGUCGUGCCCUGCUCAGCCGUCCGCGCCUUCGCGCCGUCCAUUGCCACUGCCUGCUGUGCUGUGCUGCUGCUGUCGCGUCUGUCACAUCCCUAGUUCUGGUAUGACCUAGACUAGCUAGUCAUUUGUGCAUCAUGUUUAAAUUCCAUUUAAAUUUGAAAUGGGGAUUGGUGAAACCCUCAGAAAUCAUUUCUGGAAAUGACCCAGAUAAAAAGUGCUCCAAAAAGGACCAAGAAAAUGUUCAUGUUGCUCUCUGAAAAUAUUGGUCAGAGGUAGAAUUCAAACCAAUAAUUUGAGGAGCCCAUAAAUAUUUAUUUUGGCCUUUUGGAAUUAAUACAAUAAUUAUUUGCCUUGGAUAUAUAUAUGUGAUAUAUUUUAUAUAUGUCCAAAAUUUCUGAUUUUUGCUGAGGGGCUUUGGAAUAACCCCUUAGGUCCCUGCAAAAAUUGUCAGGAGAAAAUAAAAUGAUUUAGUAUUUUACUAAAUCAGAACAAAUGCAAGAAAAAUAGAAAACAGAAAAGAAAAAGGAGAGAGAGAAAGGAACUUACCUGACUUACCUGGCGCCCCACCACGGCCCAGCAGAGGCCCAGCCCACUGGCCUCUACCAGUCACCACCUACCUCCCGCCAAGAGGACAGCGCGCGUGUGGCCGCCGCACGCGAGCACGUGCCCCGCCACCUCCUGCUUCCCGAUGCUGCCUCGACGGCCAGGACGUCGCCACGCACUACCUGGUCCCUCUUGCUCACUCCCUCGAGCUCCUCCCCCUCCUCAGUUCUCUCUCUCGCACGCACCCGAGCGCAGCCGACGCCACUGCUCGCCGUUGCCGUGGCCACUGCCUCCCCCUCGUCCCUCCGUCGUGUCCACGCGCUCCGCCGCUGUGGGCUACGCCUCCUCGACGAGACGCACGGCGCCGGACGCCCUGGAAUGCCGCCAUCACCAUCGUCUUCCACCUCGGGCUCCGCCGUCCACCACCGUCGAUUCGUCGUCACCAGGCCUCCCCCGUGCCCACCGUGCUGCUUCGCGUGAUCGCCGUGAGCAUAUCCCUAUUUCCCCUCUCUUCUCCCCCUCGUUCCCGUGUCGUAGCCGUGGUUUCCACCCCGGCCGAAGCCAUCGCCCCCGCAGCCCCUCGCCGUCGUGGCCACAGCCGCCGUAGCUCGCAGCCGAGCCCGCUGUUGCACUCAGUGCACUCUAGCGAGUCAAGCGGACCCGCUCGCAGCUCCUGCUGUGCCCCAAAACACCGCGCGCGCACCUGGCCGAACUCCGGCUGCCGCACUCGUUGUCGCCGGCGCCACUCCGGCCACUCCCCGGCCAUGCCACCACCACGGUUGGAUGCGGACGAGCGUCCGCAUCCCGUAGCUGCACUCCGCGCGCCAAAUGGCUCCCUAUAGGCAAAACCCGCAGUGCACCGCCGCGUCUGGACUCGCCGGCGGCUAAACGCCGGCGACCGCUGACCUUUGACUGGCGUGGGUUGACCCCACUGCCCAGUUUGACCUCCCCAUCUCUCUCACUGACUUGCGGGCCCCACCCGACUAAUUACUCUAGUUAGCACUAAUUAACUAGCUAGAUUAGCUACUACAAUCACUGACUAGUGGGCCUUGCCCAGUUAGUUAGUUGACUGGGUCACUGACCAGUGGGACCCACUGGUCAGGUUUGACCUGGUCAGCCCCGUUGACUCGCUUACGUCAUGCUGACGUAGAGCUGAUGCAAUAAUUGAUUUCUGGAAUUAUUUUAACUCAGGAAAUUCUAGAAUAUUGCUUAAACUUCUAAAAUUCAUAGAAAUUCAACCGUAGCUCAGAAUGAAAUAAUUUAUAUAUGAAAAAUUAUCAGAAAAAUGCAAGGAAUCCAUUUAUGCCAGUUCCAUGCAUGAAUAACCAACUUAUACAUGCUGUAUAAGUGAAAACAUAAUAUGGGCAUUUUAAAUGCUUCAUUUUGAAUUGCAUUUGAAUCUUGAUUCAAAUGGGCUUCAACCAACUUGGUAGCAUCUUGCAUUAGCCCAAACACUAGCAUUUGAACAUGUCAUGUUCAUGCAUCAUAUUGUUGCAUUUGUUUGUGUAUUGAUUGUCGGCACCGUUUCUUCUCGAUAGGUUCCACUCCGGAAGGUGUUCUCGAGUACCUGUCAGAGGAGCAGUGCCCCUUCGUCGUCUAUCGGGAAAGCAAACCCCCUUAAGCAUUUUGAUAAAUCCCACUAUCUCACUCUUGCUCCUUAUACUGCAUUAGGACAACAAUGAUUCAACUGCUACUUUUCUGCUGCGGUAGUUGAACCCAUUCCUCUGCAUGACCAGUCAUUGCCGCAGUAACUAGUUGAAACCCACUAGCAUGAGUAGGAGUUGCUUGAGCCUUGAUGUUCCUACUCAUCCAUGCUUGUUUUAUUUAUGCCAGCUAUGCUUAGAUUUGUGUCAGGUUUGAUUCAUCGGGAAUGAAUCGGAGUGGUGAACAUGUCCUACCGAUAAAGGCUAAGUGUGUGAACAAGUUUUGGUAAAGGUAGCGAUGAGAGGCCAUGUAGGAGUACAUGGUGGGUUGUCUCAUUGGAACCGUCCCUAAGCACUAAGUUUUGUGUAUGUUAUCCAAGUCCAGUUACUACCACACAUUCGGUUCCAGUUAUCCGGCCCCUCUCGGCUUAUUAAUCCACUUGAUCUCUGUCCAGGAGUUGCAACUAGUUUCUGGCGUUUGUAGGUAGUGCUACUUGUCUACCAGGUGGUGUCCGACGGGACGGGCUUGGGACAGACUAGGCACCAUGGCAUGGUGUACCAAGUGGCACCCGGAUGGUGGGCUUGGGAACCCUGCACGCAUCGUUUGGGGCCAUACUGGAGACUUCGGCCGGAACUCCUUGCGGAUGGAACUCGAAUAGGCGAUAAACCUGGACGAGAGACUUGUGUGGUUAGUCAGGUCAUGGCCGACACCCUUGCCCGGCUUCCGCUUGAAGGUUGCCGAGGUACAUGACGUGUACAGGGCGAUAAGUGGCGAGAGCGUGUGUGAAGAAGUACACCCCUGCAGGGUUAACAUUAUCUAUUCGAAUAGCCAUUUUCCUCGGAUAUGGAAACUUGGAGGACUUAUGUAUUACAUAGACAACUUGAAGUGGAUACUCUAAAAUCCGCAAGAUAGGCGUGAGUGCUAUGAAUGGCCUUCUCGUAGGGAGACGGGAACAGAUCCAUAGUGGAGUAUUGAUAUGGUGAAUAUGUGGACUCGUGUGCAUCUUCUCACCUCAGAGAAGUUUCUGAUACUCGUACUAUAGGUUAGCAACUGAGUCAAAGCUGGCUUGCUGUUGUUAACUCCACCACCCCCCUUGUUGAUAAUGUUGCAUAUGUAGAUAGUUCAGAUGUAAGACUUGCUGAGUACCAUCGUACUCACAUUUUCUUAUCUAUGUUUUGCAGUUGGUUACACUAGUGACUUCGACGAGUAGCUUGUAUCCCAGCUACGAUCUUGUACCCUUGGGAGGGUAGUGUUUAGUCAGGCUUCUUAGUCUUUUCCUUUUGCAGUUGUCUGUACUCAUACAUGUAAUGCUUCGAUUGCUUGUAUGCUCUGAAUGGUGGGUCAUGAGACCCGUGUUUGUAUUGAAUGCUAUGUGGCUCUUCUGGGCCUUUAUCUAUAUGAGUUUGAGUUAUGUUGUGAUGCCAUGUUGUACAACACAUACUUGCAUGUUAUGCGUACGUGUAACGUGUAUUGCUAUGUGUGGGAUCCGACAACCUAGUUGUUUAUCCCUGGUAGCCUCUCUUAUGGAGAAAUGUAGUCUUGUGCUUGCAUGAGCCAUAGUAGUCCGCUAUAGCCCGGUUCACCGGAGUCCUGCUGGCCUAGCACUACUGCUCCGGAACACUUGGCUGGCCGGCAUGUGAUUCACUUCGUUCCUGUGUCUGUCCCUUAGGGGAAAUGUCACGCGGUGACAUCCGGAGUCCUGCCUAGCCUGCUACAGCCCGGGUUCCCGGAGUCCUGUUAGCCCAAUGCUACAACCCGGAUUCAUAUGCUGUUAACCGACAUGCUUGAGGUUGAUUCAUGUAUACCUGUCCCUGUAAGUUAGUGCCACUUUGGGUUCACGACUAGUCAUGUCGGCCCGGGUUCUCUAUCAUAUGGAUGCUAGCGACACUAUCAUAUACGUGAGCCAAAAGGCGCAAACGGUCCCGGGCCAGGUAAGGUGGCACCCGUGGGAAUACCGUGCGUGAGGCCGCAAAGUGAUAUGAAGUGUUACAUGCUAGAUCGGUGUGACUUAGGAUCGGGGUCCCGACAGCGUUGGUAUCAGAGCCGGACUGACUGUAGGAUUACCAAGCCAAACUGGUUGAAGUUGAGUCUAGAAAUGCUUUAGUUAUAUAAGGGAACUGAUUGUGGAAGGGAACGUAAGUCUCUUUUUACGCCUUUACCUCAUGUCAUUCUUUCUGAGUCAGCCUCUUCUUUUCUACGAGGGUUAAGGCCUAGGCUUCUCCUCUAUCUCUCAGGAUGACGUGUUACCAAACCGUAAAGUCUUAGGAUUGUUGGGUUGUGUCUCCGUACAGUUCUACUACUUCCGUGUGUCAUCAGUUUGACCCAGAACCUUGAUAUUAUGAUGUUGAGUGAUUAUGCUAUUCCUUUGAUGAAUGUCUCAAAAUCUUUUUGAGCAUUUACAGUCGUUAUGCUGCCGAAAUUGUCUUAGGAUUUCAAGAGUUUCCAAUUCUUUUGCAUUACAUUCCGCAUCCUUAUGUCGAUGCUAAUUCCAUCCUUGUUUCCUUGGUUUCUGUGCUAGGAUUUCGUCUGCUAACCGAGGUUUAGUUGCUCAUAGCAAGAACCACGGAGAUGGUAGGGACGAGGAUCCUCCUAACCAGCCUUUGAUGGCAGAGUUCUUGUUAGCAUCCAAGAGGAACAAGCGUGAGACUAACCGCUUGCUGGCACAGAUUGAGCAGAACACCGCACAUCAGCGUAAGAAGUUGGUUUCCAUACCGACUUCAUUGGUCUGAAACCACCCACCUUCCAUCAUUCCAUUGAGCAACUCGAUGCAGAUGUCUGGCUCCGGGGCAUCACUCACAAGUUGCGUUCUGCGAACGUAGCUGAAGGUGACAAGGUCACCCAUGCUACCUAUCACCUGGAAGGUCCUGCUAGUAUUUGGUGGCAGAGCUAUGAGGCUAUGCUACCAGUUGGCUAGAUUCCUACCUGGAGGGAUUUCACCGAGGCUUUUCGUGAGCACCACAUUCCUCAGGCUCUCAUUGACCGCAAGAGGGAAGAGUUCUGUAGUUUUACCCAGGGUAAGCUGCCUGUUGAUGCCUAUAGUAGAGAGUUUGGAAACCUCGCCCGCUAUGCUACAGAAGAAGUGUCCACGGACGCCAAGAAGCAGGCUAGGUUCCGGAAGGGUCUCUACCCUAAGUUGUGUCAUGAUAUCCACCUGCAUCAUUGUGAUACUUUCCAGGCUCUUGUGAACAAGGCCAUUAAUGCAGAGACAGCUCAGCUCACUUACAAGGAGUCUCGUAAGCACAACCAUGAUCUGGGUUCUUCCUUCCGCUCUGGCUCUCAAAAGCGACGGAUUUGGAUUCUGAACUCGGCUCUUCCACCUGUAUAUGCACCGAGGCCAUCCGAUAUGGCGCCUCACCCAGCUCAGCAACGUGCUCCACCCAGGCCUAUUAGUGGACCACUUGCCAAUGUAGGUCCAUGUCCUGCCUUAGAACUUGCUUCACCUGCGGAGAACCAGGACACUAUGCACGUGACUGCCCUCAGUCCAGUUAUAUUCCACCCCAGUCUGAGAGGUCUGUUGGCUGUGAGAAGCCAUUAGGCAAGAUGAUCGGUACCAAGCCAGCCACCACUGAACGAGCAUGUGUGCACCACGUCUCGGCUAUAGAAGCUCAAGAUGAUCCCGACGUCGUAUUGGGAACGCUUCUUGUCAAUUGUCACCCAGCUUCAGUUCUGUUUGAUACUGGAACAUCUCACUCCUUCAUAUCCGAAGGUUAUGCUAGGUUGCACGACAUGUCAUUUUGUGAUAUGCCGACUCCACUAAUAAUCCAGACUCCUGGUUCCAAAUGGCAAACGUCCAAGGUAAGCCAUGGUAAUGAAAUCCUUGUUGACAGACUGGUAUUCCUUGCUUCUUUGAUAUCUCUCAAGUCUUCAGACAUUAACAUCAUCUUGGGCAUGGACUGGAUGACAGCUCAUCAUGCCAAGAUCGAUUGUUACACCAGAUCUGUUCAACUUACACAUGCAUCUGGCAAAAUAGUCAUUGUCUCUACUAGAGUUGCAAGGUGUCAACUCUAUUCUCUUAAUGCCAGCCCUCUUCCAGACCUUGCAGAUAUUCCGGUAGUCCGUGACUUCCCAGAUGUCUUUCCAGAAGAACUGCCAGGUGUCCCACCUGACGGAGAUGUAGAGUUUGUCAUAGAACUUAUCCCAGGAACUGUUCCAAUCUCUAGGAGACCAUACAAGAUGGCACCUUUGGAGUUAGCCGAGCUUAAGAAACAGCUUGAUGAGUCCUUGCAAAAGGGCUUCAUCCGUCCCAGUUCUUCUCCUUGGGCUUGUCAUGUCCUCUUCGUCAAGAAGAAGGAUGGUACGGAUCAGAUGGUUGUAGAUUAUCAUCCCGUUAAUGUGGUCACGAUAAAGAACAAGUAUCCGCUCCCCAGGAUCAACGACUUGUAUGUUCAGCUUUCUGGAUCCUCAGUCUUUUCCAAGAUGGGUUUGAGGUUAGGCUACCACCAAAUCAAAAUCAUAAAUGGGGACAUCCCCCAAACGGCCGUUGUCACUCGUUAUGGUCAAUACGAGUACAUUGUGAUGUCUUUCGGCCUAACCAAUGCUCCAGCUACUUUCCCCCGCUUGAUGAACUCGAUCUUUAUGGAGUACUUAGAUAAGUUCGUCGUGGUUUAUCUCGAUGAUAUUCUUAUUUACUCGAAGAACGAGGAAGAGCAUGUCGAACAUCUUAGACUUGUGUUAGAAAAACUUAGAGAGCGCCGCCUUUAUGCCAAGUUCUCCAAGUGUGAAUUUUGGUUGCCAGAAGUGACCUAUCUGGGCCACGUGAUCUCUGGUAAGGGCAUUGCUGUCAAUCCCGAGAGAGUUAAAGCCGUUCUCGAUUGGACUCCACCCAAAAUGGUCAAACAAGUUAGGAGUUUCCUUGGUCUAGCCAGUUAUUGUCGCCGCUUCGUUGAAAACUUCUCCAAAGUGGCCAAACCCCUCACGGAACUUCUCAAGAAAGAUAAAAGGUUUGAGUGGACCCCAUAGUGUGAGCACAGUUUUCAGGAACUGAAAAGACGCCUGACUUCCGCUCCCAUACUUGUGCCACCGGAUUUCACUAAAGACUUUGUUAUCUAUUGCGAUGCUUCGCGUCAAGGACUAGGUUGCAUUCCUAUGCAUGAUCGUCAUGUGAUUGCCUAUGCAUCUCGACAGUUGCAUCCACAUGAGGAAAAUUAUCCUACACAUGAUCUAGAGCUUGCAGCCGUAGUCUAUGCACUUAAGACUUAGUGACAUUACCUUCUUGGUAACCAUUGCGAAAUCUACACUGACCAUCAGAGUCUCGAGUAUAUCUUCACCCAACCAGAUUUGAAUCUCAGACAGAGACAUUGGUUGGAGUUGAUCUCGGAUUACGACUUAGGAAUCACCUACACCCCAGGCAAAGCCAAUGUCAUGGCUGAUGCUUUAAGUCAUAAAUCCUAUUGCAACAACCUCAUGUUGCAACAAUGUCAACCACCUCUCCAUGAGGAAUUCUGUAAGCUUAACCUUCACAUAGCUCCUCAUGGUUCCCUUUCUACCUUGGUGGCGAAACCUACCCUUAUGGAUCAGAUCAUAGAGGCUCAGAAGCAUGAUACGGGAAUCUCCUGGAUCAAGAAAAAUAUUUCCAAGGGAGUUGCUGGCUGUUUCUCUAUGGAUGAACGAGGUGUUGUUUACUUUGGAAACCGUUUGGUGGUUACCAAAUGUCAACAGAUGCAGCAACUGAUCCUUAAGGAGGCCCAUGAAUCUCCUCUCACGAUUCAUCCCGGUAGUACCAAGAUGUAUCAGGACCUACGCCAGAGGUUCUGGUGGACUAGGAUGAAGAGAGAAAUCGCUCAGUAUAUUGCCAACUGUGACGUUUGUCGUCGCGUUAAGGCAGAGCAUCAGAGACCUGCUGGCACCCUUCAACCUCUAGCUAUUCCCGAGUGGAAAUGGGACAAAGUUGGUAUGGACUUCAUCACUGGCUUUCCCAGGACCAAGAAAGGAAAUAAUGCUAUCUUCAUAGUCAUUGAUCGUCUCUCCAAAGUGGCUCACUUCCUACCUGUUCGAGAGAGUAUCACUGCUAGUCAGCUCGCUGACUUAUAUAUCUCCCGAAUAGUGUCACUCCAUGGUGUUCCACUAGAGAUCAAUUCAAACCAUGGCAGUCUUUUCACCUCUCAUUUCUGGGAAAGUUUCCAGAAUGCCAUGGGAACUCAUCUUUCUUUCAGUACCGCUUUCCACCCUCAGUCAAGUGGUCAGGUGGAAAGGGUCAACCAAAUUCUCGAAGACAUGCUUAGAGCUUAUGUUAUCUCAUUCGGUAUGGAUUGGUAGAAGUGUCUUCGUUUCCCCGAGUUUGCUUAUAACAAUAGCUAUCAAUCCAGUCUUAAGAAAGCUCCUUUUGAGAUUCUCUAUGGACGAAGAUGUCGAACACCUUUGAACUGGCCAAAAACCGGUGAAAGACAAUUCUUUGGGCUGGAUAUGAUCCAGGAGGCAGAAGAGCCAGUUCACAUCAUUCAUGAGAAUUUGAAAACAGCCCAAUCUCGUCAAAAGAGCCAGUAUAACCGUCGUCAUAAGGAAGUGGCUUAUGAAGUUGGCGACAAGGCUUACCUUCGGGUUACUCCUAUGAAGGGUACCCAUCGUUUCGGUAUCAAGGGCAAGUUGGCUCCUCGUUACAUUGGUCCUUUUCGCAUUCUCGCUAAACAAGGAGAGGUUGCCUACCAGUUGGAACUACCCUCACAUCUUUCUCGAGUUCAUGAUGUCUUCCACGUCUCUCAACUCAGGCGUUGCUUCUCGGAUCCCAUCCGCAGAGUGGACCACAAAACGCUUGAUCUCCAAGAUAACCUUACUUAUCGAGAGUACCCCGUUCGCUUUCUGGAUCAAGCAAAGAGAAGCUACUUGGGAGCGAGAAGAUCGUCUUCGACUUGAGUACCCCGCUUUCUUUCCGCCAACUCCUGAAUCUCGGGACGAGAUUCUUCCGAGUGGGGGCGAGUUGUCACAUCCCUAGUUCUGGUAUGACCUAGACUAGCUAGUCAUUUGUGCAUCAUGUUUAAAUUCCAUUUAAAUUUGAAAUGGGGAUUUGUGAAAACCUUAGAAAUCAUUUCUGGAAAUGACCCAGAUAAAAAGUGCUCCAAAAAGGACCAAGAAAAUGUUCAUGUUGCUCUCUGAAAAUAUUGGUCAGAGGUAAAAUUCAAACCAAUAAUUUUAGGAGCCCAUAAAUAUUUAUUUUGGCCUUUUGGAAUUAAUACAAUAAUUAUUUGCCUUGGAUAUAUAUGUGUGUGAUAUAUUUUAUAUAUGUCCAAAAAUUCUGAUUUUUGCUGAGGGGCUUUGGAAUAACCCCUUAGGUCCCUGCAAAAAUUGUCAGAAGAAAAUAAAAUGAUUUAGUAUUUUACUAAAUCAGAACAAAUGUCAGAAAAAUAGAAAACAGAAAAGAAAAAGGAGAGAGAGAAAGGAACUUACCUGAGUUACCUGGCGCCCCACCACGGCCCAGCAGAGGCCCAGCCCACUGGCCUUUGCCAGUCACCACCUACCUCCCGCCAAGAGGACAGCGCGCGCGCGGCCGCCGCGCGCGAGCACACGCCCCGCCACCUCCUGCUUCCCGCCGCUGCCUCGGCGGCCAGGACGUCACCACGCACACCCUGGUCCCUCUCGCUCACUCCCUCGAGCUACUCCCCCUCCUCAGUUCUCUCUCUCGCACGCACCCGAGCAUAGCCGAAGCCACCGCUCGCCGUUGCUGCGGCAACUGCCUCCCCCUCGUCCCUCCGUCGUGUCCACACGCUCCGCCGCUGUGGGCUACGCCUCCUUGACGAGACGCACGGCGCCGGACGCCCUGGAACGUCGCCAUCACCAUCGUCUUCCACCUCGGGCUCCUCCAUCCACCACCGUCAAUUUGUCGUCACCAGGCCUCCCCCGAGCCCGCCGUGCUGCUUCGCGUGAUUGCCGUGAGCUUAUCCCUGUUUCCCCUCUCUUCUCCCCCUCGUUCCCGCGUCGUAGCCGUGGUUUCCACCCCGGCCGAAGCCAUCACCACCGCAGCCCCUCGCCGUCGUGGCCACAGCCGCCGCAGCUCGCAGCCGAGCCCGCCGUUGCACUCAGUGCACUCUGGCGAGUCGAGCGGACCCGCUCGCAGCUCCUGCUGUGCCCCAAAACACCGCGCGGACACCUGGCCGAACUCCAGCCGCCGCACUCGUCGUCGUCGGCGCCACUCCGGCCACUCCCCGGCCGCGCCACCACCACGGUUGGAUGCGGACGAGCGUCCGCAUCCCGUAGCUGCACUCCGCACGCCAAAUGGCUCCCUAUAGGCAAAACCCGCAGCGCACCGCCGCGUCUGGACUCGCCGGCGGCUAAACGCCGGUGACCGCUGACCUUUGACUGGCGUGGGUUGACCCCACUGCCCAGUUUGACCUCCCCCUCUCUCUCACUGACUUGCGGGCCCCGCCCGACUAAUUACUCUAGUUAGCACUAAUUAACUAGCUAGAUUAGCUACUACAGUCACUGACUAGUGGGCCCUGCCCAGUUAGUUAGGACUAACUAACUUAGUUAGUUGACUGGGUCACUGACUAGUGGGACCCACUAGUCAGGUUUGACCUGAUCAGCCCUGUUGACUCGCUUACGUCAUGCUGACGUAGAGCUGACGCAAUAAUUGAUUUCUGGAAUUAUUUUAACUCAGGAAAUUCCAGAAUAUUGCUUAAACUUCUAAAAUUCAUAGAAAUUCAACCGUAGCUCAGAAUGAAAUAAUUUAUAUAUGAAAAAUUAUCAGAAAAAUGCAAGGAAUACAUUUAUGCUAGUUCCAUGCAUGAAAAACAACCUUAUACAUGCUUUAUAAGUGAAAACAUAAUAUGGGCUUUUAAAUGCUUCAUUUUGAAUUGCAUUUGAAUCUUGAUUCAAAUGGGCUUCAACCAACUUGGUAGAAUCUUGCAUUAGCCCAAACACUAGCAUUUGCACAUGUCAUGUUCAUGCAUCAUAUUGUUGCAUUUGUUUGUGUAUUGAUUGCCGGCACCGUUUCUUCUCGAUAGGUUCCACUUCGGAAGAUGUUUCCGAGUACCUGUCAGAGGAGCAGUGCCCCUUCGUCGUCUAUCAGGCAAGCAAACCCCCUUGAGCAUUUCGAUUAAUCCCACUCUCUCGCUCUUGCUCCUUAUACUGCAUUAGGACAACAACGAUUCAACUGCUACUUUUCUGCUGCGGUAGUUGAACCCAUUCCUCUGCAUGACCUGUCAUUGCCACAGUAACUAGUUGAAACCCACUAGCAUGAGUAGGAGUUGCUUGAGCCUUCAUGGGCCUACUCAUCCAUGCUUGUUUUCUUUAUGCCAGCUAUGCUUAGAGUUGUGUCAGGUCUGAUUCAUCGGGAAUGAAUCGGAGUGGCGAACAUCUCCUACCGAUAAAGACUAAGUGUGUGAACACGUUUUGGUAAAGGUAGAGAUGAGAGGCCAUGUAGGAGUACAUGGUGGGUUGUCUCAUUGGAACCGUCUCUAAGCACUGUGUUCUGUGUAUGUUAUCCAAGUCCAGUUACUACCACACAUUGGGUUCCGGUUAUCCGGCCCCUCUCGGCUUAUUAAUCCACUUGAUCUCUGUCCAGGAGUUGCAACUAGUUUCUGGCGUUUGUAGGUAGUGCUACUUGUCUACCAGGUGGUGUCCGACGGGACGGGCUUGGGACAGACUAGGCACCAUGGCACAGUGUACCAAGUGGCACCCGGAUGGUGGGCUUGGGAACCCUGCACACAUCGUUUGGGGUCGUACUGGAGACUUCGGCCAGAACUCCUUGCGUAUGGAACUCGAAUAGGCGAUAAACCUAGACAAGAGACUUGUGUGGUUAGUCAGGUCAUGGCCGACACCAUCGCCCGGCUUCCGCUUGAAGGUUGACGAGGUACAUGAUGUGUACAGGGCGAUAAGUGGCGAGAGCGUGUGUGAAGAAGUACACCCCUGCAGGGUUAACAUUAUCUAUUCGAAUAGCCGUUUUCCUUGGAUAUGGAAACUUGGAGGACUUAUGUAGUACAUAGACAACUUGAAGUGGAUACUCUAAAAUCCGCAAGAUAGGCGUGAGUGCUAUGAAUGGCCUUCUCGUAGGGAGACGGGAAUGAAUCCAUAGUGGAGUAUUGAUAUGGUGAAUAUGUGGAAUCGUGUGCGUCUUCUCACCUCAAAGAAGUUUCUGAUACUCGUAGUAUAGGUUAGCCACUGAGUCAAAGCUGGCUUGCUGUUGUUAACUCCACCACCCCCCUUGUUGAUAAUGUCGCAUAUGUAGAUAGUUCUGAUGUAAGACUUGCUGAGUACCUUCGUACUCACGUUUGCUUAUCUAUGUUUUGAAGUUGGUUACAAUAGUGACUUCGACGAGUAGCUUGUAUCCCAGCUACGAUCUUGUACCCUUGGGAGGGUCGUGUUUAGUCAGGCUUCUUAGUCUUUUCCUUUUGCAGUUGUCUAUACUCAAACAUGUAAUGCUUCCAUUGCUUGUUUGCUCUGAAUGGUGGGUCAUGAGACCCUUGUUUGUAUUGAAUGCUAUGUGGCUCUUCUGGGCCUUUAUCUAUAUGAGUUUGAGUUAUGUUGUGAUGCCAUGUUGUACAGCACAUACUUGCAUGUUAUGCGUACGUGUAACGUGUAUUGCUAUGUGUGGGAUCCGACAACCUAGUUGUUUAUCCCUGGUAGCCUCUCUUAUGGGGAAAUGUAAUCUUGUGCUUCCAUGAGCCAUAGUAAUCCGCUAUAGCCCGGUUCACCGGAGUCCUGCUAGCCCAGCACUACUGCUCCGGAACACUUGACUGGCCGGCAUGUGAUUCACUUCGUUCCUGUGUCUGUCCCUUUGGGGAAAUGUCACGCGGUGACAUCCGGAGUCCUGCGUAGCCUGCUACAGCCCCGGUUCCCGGAGUCCUGUUAGCCCAGUGCUACAGCCCGGAUUCAUACGCUGUUGAACGACAUGCUCGAGGUUGAUUCAUGUAUGCCUAUCCCUAUAAGUUAGUGCCACUUUGGGUUCACGACUAGUCAUGCCGGCCCGGGUUCUCUGUAUCAUAUACAUGAUACAGAGCCAAAAGGCGCAAAUGGUCCCGGGCCAGGUAAGCUGGCACCCGUGGGAAUACCGUGCGCGAGGCCGCAAAGUGAUAUGAAGUGUUACAUGCUAGAUCGGUGUGACUUAGGAUCGGGGUCCCGACAGCGUCGCCACUGCUCGCGCGCGCCCUGACCGGUCCCGACCGCGGGCGGCGUUGCCCACAUGCUGCUGCUGCUACUAAUGUCCCUCCCCUGCUGCUCGCUGCCUAGCACCGACGCCUGCCUUCGCCGCUGCCCACUGCUGCUCGUUCGUCGGUGGCAGCCCGCGCCCGUGUCCCCCGCUCGACAACCGAGCCCCACACCUCCAGCCGCCACUGCCGCGCUAGGCCGUGCCCGGGCCUCGUUCCCCCCUACGCCUAGCCAAGCCCGCCGCCCCCCGCUCUUAUCCUCGUCGCGCCCUACCCCGCACCCCCGCGCGCUUAGCCGGCCGCCGCUCGCCGACAUCCGUGCCCUCCUCUCCCUUCCUGCUCGCGCGCUCCCGUCGGUGCCGCCCUCCUGGUGCCCGGCCCACCGCUGCCUGCGCCGACCUGGCCGCCGACGCCUCCCGCGUGCGUGUAGGAUCCCCUCCUGGGCCUGCCUACUUAAUUAGUAGCUAACCUUCCUCACCCCUAGCCAAUGACUGUGGGGCCCUUCCCACUAAUUAGGCUAGGUAAUUUAAUUGUUUACAUUAGUUAGGCUACUAACUCAAUGACAGAUGGGCCCCAUUGUUAAUUAAUCAAAAUUAACUAAACAAAUAAAGCCCUAGUCUAUGACAUGUGGGUCCACUUUGACCCCGUUGACCAGUCAACAUUGAUUGGUCAACUGCUGAAUGGACCACUCUUGGACCCCAUUGGUCAUACACUCAGGCUAGGUAGAACUAGGUGACAAAUGUAUAUUAUGUUUUUGCUUCGAAUUUAAUAGUUCCAGAAAUUCAAUAACACUUUAAAAAUUCAUAGGAAAUAAUCGGUAACUCCGAUGAAAAUGUUUUAUACAUGAAAGUUGCUCAGAACGACGAGACGAAUCCGGAUACGCAGCCCGUUCGUGCGCCAUGCAUCCCUAGCAUAGUGAACACGCAACUUUCUCCCUCCGGUUCAUCUGCCCGAAAACGUGAAACACCGGGAAUACUUUCCCGGAUGUUUCCCCCCUUCGCCGGUAUCGCCUAUCCCUAUGUUAGGCCACCCCUAGCUCAACAUAUUGCCGCGUCUUGCUUUGUGUUACAUUUGAUUGCUCUGUUAUUUAUUGUGUUCCCCCUCCGUUACUCCUUUCCGGUAGACUCCGAGACUGCUACCGAUGUCCGUGUGUUCGACUACAUCGAAGACGACCCCUCUCUCUUGCCAGAGCAACCAGGCAAGCCCCCCCUUUGAUCACAAGAUAUCGCCUACUCUUCUCUCUCCUUCUUGCAUUAGAGUAGUGUAGCAUGUUACUGCUUUUUGUUAAUCCUAUCCUGAUGCAUAGCCCGUCAUUGUUGCUACAACUGUUGAUAUCUUACCUGCAAUCCUAAAUGCUUAGUAUAGGAUGCUAGUUUAUCAUCAGUGGCCCUACAUUCUUGUCUGUCUGCCAUGCUAUACUACAGGGCCAUGAUCACUCGGGAGGUGAUCACGGGUAUAUAUUAUAUACUUUAUACAUAUAAAUGUUGUGACUAAAGUCGGGUCGGCUCUUUGAGUACCCACAAGUGAUUCCGAUAUUGGGGGCUGAAGGGGCAGGUGGUUCCACCCAGGUAGUGGUGGGCCUAGGUUCCCGACGGCCCCUGACUGUUACUUUGAGGUGGAGCGACAGGGCAGGCGGAGACCACCUAGGUGAGAGAUGGUCCUGGCCCUGGUCGGCGUUCGCGGUUACUUCAAAAUAACACGCUUAACGAGAUCUGGGCAUUUGAUCUGAGUCUGGCUACUGGCCUAUAUGCACUAACCAACUACGCGGGAACAAUUAUGGGUACUCGACAUCGUGGUAUCAGCCGAAGCCUUCUUGACGUCAGCGACUGAGCGGCGCACACCGGGUUGGACUGGAAUGCCUGCUCUUGUAUAAGGGAGGCUAGGUCUGCUCACCGGCCGCGUUCGCAACAUGCAGGUGUGCAAUGGGCGAUGGGCCUAGACCCCUGCGCCAUAGGAUUUAGACCGGCGUGCUGGCCUCUCUGUUGUGCCUAGGUAGGGCUGCGACGUGUUGAUCUUCCGAGGCCGGGCAUGACCCAGGAAAGUGUGUCCGGACAAAGGGGAUCGAGCGUGUUGGGAAAUGUGGUGCACCCCUGCAGGGAAGUUAUUCUAUUCGAAUAGUCGUGAUCUUCGAUAACAGGAUGACUUGUAGUUGUACCUUGACCUUAUGACAACUAGAACCAGAUACUUAAUAAAAUACACCCUUCCAAGUGCCAGAUACAACCGGUGAUCGCUCUCUCACAGGGCGACGAGGGGAGGAUGAUCGGUUAGGAUUAUGCUAUGCGAUGUUACUUGGUGAACUUACCAUCUACUCUCUUCUUCUGCUGCAAGAUGGAGGUUACCAGAAGCAUAGUCUUUGAAAGGACUAGCUAUCCCCCUCUUAUUACGGCAUUCUACAGUUCAGUCCACAUAUGAUACCCUUAUUCCAUUUGAUACCAAUGCAUACAUAUGUAGUGUAGCUCCUUGCUUGUGAGUACUUUGGAUGAGUGCUCAUGGUUGCCUUGCUCCCCCUUCCCCUUUCCUAUACCCGAUUGCUGCGACCAGACAUUGGCGUCCAGGAGCCAGACGCCACUGUCAAUGACGGCUACUGCUACUCGGGAGGUGCCUACUACUACGUGCAGGCCGCUGACGACGACCAGGAGUAGUUUAGGAGGAUCCCAGGCAGGAGGCAUACGCCUCUUUCGAUAUGUAUCCCUAUUUGUGCUAGCCUUCUUAAGGCAAACUUGUUUAACUUAUGUCUGUACUCAGAUAUUAUUGCUUCCGCUGACUCGGCUAUGAUUGAGCUCUUGUAUUCGAGCCCUCGAGGCCCCUGGCUUGUAAUAUGAUGCUUGUAUGACUUAUUUUUAUUUGUAGAGUUGUACUGUGAUAUCUUCCUGUGAGUCCCUGAUCUUGAUCGUACACGUUUGCGUGUAUGAUUAGUGUACGAUUAAAUUGGGGGCGUCACAAGUUGGUAUCAGAGCUGACUGCCUGUAGGAAUCCCCCUUCCAAACUCCUUGGCCGAAGUUGAGUCUAGUCACUGAAAAACUUUUACUAACAUGGCUGUGUGCCUUACGGGCCCAAGUUGCCAUUUGGGUGGUAUUAGGAUCUUUUACUCCUCGUCUAUACUCUGGGACUCUGAUCUCUCUUCUAUUCGGGUUAAAUGAUUUUGCUAACUCUAACUCUAGGUUCUCGUAAAUACUUUCUUCCGAAGAGCCCCUUCAUUCCAGAUGAUGGUCUGCUUCACCAGAAGAUUCUGAAGAUACUCUCCGUUAUUCUCUCGAGACCUUGUGCCCACCACUUUUGCUAUUCCCGACCAUCGAUAAAUCCUUAUGGAUAACUACAUAUACUUGACAUUCUUACAUUCAACCCCAUUGAUCUUGUUAUUACAAGAUACCCCAAAAUACUCGUUGUUGUUCCGAGAAUCCUUGUGCCUACUGCCUUGCAGUUCCUUAUCACUUGAAUACACCUACAAAUUAAUCCUCACGCACAUCAAGGAUUUGUUUCUCCCCAGUUGUUCAUGUGUUUCACCAAAGACUUCGAAAUACUAUUUGAUCUUCCGAAAAUCCUCAGCAGCUUAUUGCUCUUGAAAUUCUUGCUUGCUUGCAUUAUGAUUAACCUCAUAAGUCCGGUAAUCUUAUUGGCAUCCUUAGUCAUUAUUAGUUUGAGUCUGUUGAAUCAAUAUGUUGCAAAUGCUCGCAUUCCUUAAUCAGAUCCUUCGUUUUUUCCUUCCGGCUCAGACGUCAUUUUAAACAUGAGCUGGAUCUCGACCAAUUAAAUUUUGCCAUCAAUUGUACCCCUAAGGCUAUUCAACUUAUCAAUCCCUAAUCAGAGCAUUGCUUCUGAUCUCUUGUCUUGGAAUUGAUAAUUCCUUUGCAUUUGAACUUUGAGUUAGUCAGUUGAUUCUAUAAACUGAUCUCCUUGCAUUCCUGCUUCCUCUAGUUGAGUACCGAUGCUCACAUCAGAUCCCUUGUGGACCACUAGAUUCUUUGUUGGAUUUUAUCCGACAGCGUCCUUCAUAUUCUAUAAGCUUGUGAGCCUUUCCUCAGAUACAUAAUGCAUUUGGUAAAUUGUAUCCUCUGCUUUCUCCAGCAUGCUCUACUAUCGAGCUCGUGAUAUUUAUUCCUGAAAUUGUGGUAUAUGCUCCUAAGAGGCCUCAAUGGGUUGAACCUAUGCCUUCCCCCAAACCGUAUGAACCCAAAAGUUUUCGCGAGUCAUACUCUUCUGUUGUUUUGCCAGAUAAAAUUUCUACACUGUAGCCUCAUCAAAAGCGGGAAGUAAAAUGAAAGGUUAUGCAUUGAAGAAGUGGGAGUCGACCUUGAGCCCUUGCGUUCAUGCCCAUGGACCCGAUGUGGAACUUAUCAUCGAAGCUUCUUGUAAAUGAUAAUAAUCCCCUUGUUAUAAGUUCGUCCUGUAUCUAUGUUUGGUCCUUUGCAAUCAUGGUUCCGACCAUAUUUUCUCCUUAAUACCAUUUCUCGGACAAGUUAAAGCACUUGUCUUUUGCUAAUCAAUACACCAGUCCAACCUCUACUUUGAUCUACUGUCGAGUAUUACCCUCUGGUAUCUCGAGAAUAUCUAAGAACUAUGUUGCAUCUUAUGAGUUCUUCAUCGGCUAUUAUUUCUCGCCGAUUCCAAUUUUUCAUGGGUUCUGAGUCGUUAGUCGCUCAAGAACACCGAUAUGUGAACCGAUUCCGCACUCUGGUUCGAUAACUCUAAGUAAUCUUCGUUGCUUACGAGUUUAAUAAUCCUUCAAGUCAUUCCUAGCCUAAUCGGCUAUAUCAUUAUUGUGCUGAUUUUAUCGGUACUACCUCGUUCUUAAUCCCGAAGCACAACUUUCGACGAUGAGCUAAGCUUACGUCGGUCUUCAUCAUCAUAUCAUUUUGCUUUGGACAACAAGCUUGGUUUGGAGUUCGUGUUGUACCCUUGGAUCUAUUAACCUUUCGCUUCAUCAUUCCUUUGACUUGAUGUCAUCGCCGAUCGAUUACAUCUUCGUGGAGCCUCUCGACAAAAUUUGUCGUGAUCGUCAAACAACAUUUUGAUUCCUUCCAGAAUAUCAACCAAAUUGAUGAUGACAAGUACCAUCCUUGUCCCUCAAUGAUUUGUGUUAUCACCGACAACAUAAUUGCUUUCCCUCCAACACAAACUUGUUCGUGUUUUGUGUUAUACCUGGAGACCCGUGCUAUCUAGAAAUUAUUCUUCUUUACCUUGGAGUAUUACCAUCUUUUAUGUCAAGAAUGUCGUGAGAAUUUCACCACCUCCUGAGAAUUCUUGAUACAGGUAAUACUUAUCACCAUCACCAUUCCUUCUUGGUCCUCCUGUUGUUCCUGACCAGAAUACCGACAAAUGAACUAUGAUGUGUGAAUUCAAAACUUCUGGCAACCCUAUUGCUUAGAACCAAUGUUUUCUCGUGGAUGUUCUCCUCGAGCAUACAACAUUAUAUCAUUUGAUUUGAAAAUGUUAUCUCCUUGUUCACAUAAGAGUGGAAAUCCAGCUUUUGGAAAUCUUGAAGAAUUGUCGCUGAGUCCAUCAGCCACCCCCCUCAUCAUUCCCUUGGGUUAAUGAUGAACUCUUGUUUCGGAACUCACUCCCAUAGUUCAUUUCCUAAGAAGUUUACAAGGUCAUCUCGACAAUUGUGUUGCACCUUUUCUUCUCAGGCAUCCUGAGUCAGAGGUAUCCUGACACCAAUCAGAUCUAAAUCUCUAUCAGAUAUGAUGGUUGGGGCAUAUUUCCAAGAGUUAUAACACUGGUACUUAUAUAUCGGUAAGGUGAUGUCAUGCCCAUCACACCUGGCCGAAGGACUUGUGGUUAUAGUUUCCUGUUUAACAAGGUUAACCAUUCUUCCAUGAGGAAAUUGUAACACUUAUUCUAUGGGUUGUUCCUGAUGGAUCCUUUGCGUAUCCAAAGUCUGACCUUUGCUUAAAGACCAUGUCAACGCUAUCUCGAAGCAUGUAUGUGGUACUCCGAUUUUCAAUAUGAACAUUUGAAGCACAAUGCUAAAAUUUCUUUAUAAAUUACCCCAAGCACCGUUGUAUGGGUAAUGUCAUCAAAUUUCUCUCCCUUUUCCUAAAGGGUUUUCUACGAUAUAUCCUGUCAUGGAUAUCAUACUCUGCUUGUCCUUGGGAAGGAUAUACCCUUGAAAUAUGUGUUUAAACACAUUUUCCUUUCCAUUGUUCUGUUUAAUCUGAUAAUCAUAUUUUCCUUUUCAUUGGUUGGGUUAACGUUUCUUGUGAUCUAAAUGAUCUAAGCAGUAAUACUCUCCUGCUUAUGUAAACACCUCGGUGUACAAUUCUGUCAGCAAGACCCUGUUACUAUUGUUGAUGACAUUCCGGUAACCACCGAUGGACGAGAACCUUGCCUAUUGGUCCGCCUUGUUUCAAUGAGCAGGGAAAUGGUUCUCUUCGUCCCUCGCCCUUGGUACCAACGUUGUUGCCAAUUUAACUGACAUGCUAUCCUCUGACAUACCUUGCUAUCUUGACCGUGCAUGUGAUAGCGCUUUCCUGCUUUCAACCCACAUGGUGGGCCCAUAACCCACAGGUUCCAGGAUCGAAACCUGACUCUCCUGUACACCCCCUGUUCCCAAAGCUAUUCCUCGCGCGUGGCCUCAUAUGUAAUUCACGAUCCACCUUCCGAUGAGAUCAUCAAAUCCGGUAUCAGAUGCAAUACUUAUUCUCGUUGCUCUGGGGCCCCUUUCACACUUUGUUUAGGCAUCGAACGAUUGCCUACCUGCUCGAAACUUCUCAUGGUACCUCCUUACCUUGCUCUCGGCAAUUUCUUAAGUUUCAAUUCGAGAGUUACUUUCCGCCACCUUCCCUGAUGUUAUCUACUCGAUAAGCAACCUUGUAGCGGUCCGUUCUUCCAGAAUAACCACCCUUUAUUCUUUCGUAACUACAAUGAGGUUCCCCAGAGAAAGGACGACAACUUCGUCAUGAUGCAAUGGAAUAAAGAAUUGAAGACAUCAACGAAAAGUGAUUAACUUCUUCAAGAAGAGUAGCCAAGACCGAGAAGAUCCGUUGGAAUAUCGUAACCAGACCUUUUCCCCUUACUCUACCUCUUAAAUCUCGGGACGAGAUUUCUUGUAGUGGAGGAGAAUUGUGAUGCCUGGAUAAUUAAGCUACAGUGAUCCCCCGCUAAUGAUGCCAUGUCACCUCGACUACUAUUGAUAAACUCGCGUUGAUUCGAAACCGAUUCAAAUUCAAAAUCAAGUCAAAUGGUAAAGUUUUUCAAAUAUUAAAACUAAAAUGUUCCGGUUGUGCCAAAUAAUCCAUAGGCAAUUAUGGUGGGGAAAUAAACUUUCUGUAAAGUAUUUAAGUGGCCUAGAAUAAUUAAAACAUGGGCCAAUUAUUUAUUAAAAACAUUUUCAAAAUGGUAGAAAUCUCCAAACUAUUUUAUUUGCCCCAAACCUUUUUUUGAUAGUAGCCUAUAUUACUAUACUAAUUGUGGAGCAAGUUUUGUUUUUAUUAAGACUAAAAUGGUUUAGAAACUAAAUAGAAACUAGUAGUUGAAAUAAAAAGAAAACAAAGAAAAAGGAAAGAAAGAAAACC
rnacentral:lncRNA from 1 species